rnacentral:rRNA from 1 species
UACAGAGGUCCCGAACGUUGUUCGGAUUCAUUGGGCGUAAAGGGUGCGUAGGCGGCGGGGCAAGUCUGAUGUGAAAUCCCGGGGCUCAACCCCGGAACUGCAUUGGAUACUGCCUUGCUUGAGUACUGGAGAGGGAACUGGAAUUUACGGUGUAGCAGUGAAAUGCGUAGAGAUCGUAAGGAAGGCCAGUGGCGAAGGCGAGUUCCUGGACAGUUACUGACGCUGAGGCACGAAGGCCAGGGGAGCAAACGGG